ensembl:lncRNA
CAGAGCCUCAGAAGUGGAGAAAAGGUGGAGGAAGAAGAGCUCAGGCUACAGCAGCCUCACUGUUCACCUCUCUGAAAACGCCCCGUGUACAGCAACGGCCGAAGGGUCUCCUGUCGGUGUGUCCGUUCACCUGUCUGUCAGUCACUGUGUUCGUUAGUCCGUCUUUUCAGCUGUUUGUCAAUCACUGUAUUCACUUACCAGCCUUUCUGUUCACCUCUCUCUUCAGCUCCCUCUUCACCUGUCUUUUCACCUCUCUCUUCAUCUCUCUGUUCACCUCCCUCUUCACCUGUCUGUUCACCUCUCUGUUCACCUGUCUCCUCACCUCCCUCUUCAUCUCUCUGUUCACCUCUCUCUUCACCUGUCUGUUCACCUCUCUCUUCACCUCCCUCUUCACCUGUCUUUUCACCUCUCUCUUCAUCUCUCUGUUCACCUCCCUCUUCACCUGUCUGUUCACCUCUCUGUUCACCUGUCUCCUCACCUCCCUCUUCAUCUCUCUGUUCACCUCUUUCUUCACCUGUCUUUUCACCUCUCUCUUCACCUCUCUGUUCACCUCUCUCUUCACCUCCCUCUUCACCUGUCUGUUCACCUCUCUCUUUACCUCUCUCUUCACCUCCCUCUUCACCUGUCUGUUCACCUCUCUGUUCACCUGUCUCCUCACCUCCCUCUUCAUCUCUCUGUUCACCUCUCUCUUCACCUCUCUCUUCACCUGUCUUUUCACCUCUCUCUUCAUCUCUCUGUUCACCUGUCUGUUCACCUCUCUCUUCAGCUCCCUCUUCACCUCUCUCUUCACCUCCCUCUUCACCUGUCUGUUCACCUCUCUCUUCACCUCUCUCUUCACCUCUCUGUUCACCUCUCUCUUCACCUCCCUCUUCACCUGUCUUUUCACCUCUCUCUUCAUCUCUCUGUUCACCUCCCUCUUCACCUGUCUGUUCACCUCUCUGUUCACCUGUCUCCUCACCUCCCUCUUCAUCUCUCUGUUCACCUCUCUCUUCACCUGUCUUUUCACCUCUCUCUUCACCUCUCUGUUCACCUCUCUCUUCACCUCCCUCUUCACCUGUCUGUUCACCUCUCUCUUUACCUCUCUCUUCACCUCCCUCUUCACCUGUCUGUUCACCUCUCUGUUCACCUGUCUCCUCACCUCCCUCUUCAUCUCUCUGUUCACCUCUCUCUUCACCUCUCUCUUCACCUGUCUUUUCACCUCUCUCUUCAUCUCUCUGUUCACCUGUCUGUUCACCUCUCUCUUCAGCUCCCUCUUCACCUCUCUCUUCACCUCCCUCUUCACCUGUCUGUUCACCUCUCUCUUCACCUCUCUCUUCACCUGUCUGUUCACCUCUCUCUUCACCUCCCUCUUCACCUGUCUGUUCACCUCUCUCUUCACCUCCCUCUUCACCUGUCUUUUCACCUCUCUCUUCAUCUCUCUGUUCACCUCCCUCUUCACCUUUCUGUUCACCUCUCUCUUCACCUCCCUCUUCACCUCUCUGUUCACCUCUCUCUUCACCUCCCUCUUCAUCUCUCUGUUCACCUCUCUCUUCACCUGUCUGUUCACCUCUCUCUUCAUCUCUCUGUUCACCUCUCUCUUCACCUGUCUGUUCACCUCUCUCCUCACCUCCCUCUUCAUCUCUCUGUUCACCUCUCUCUUCACCUGUCUGUUCACCUCUCUCUUCAUCUCUCUGUUCACCUCCCUCUUCACCUGUCUGUUCACCUCUCUCUUCGCCUGUCUGCUGACCUCACUGUUCACCUGUCUGUUCACCAAUUUCUUCACCUGUCUGUCUGCAUAUCGAUUCUGUGUUCCGAUGCUCUUUGAUGUUCCUUCCUGCCUGUAGAUGCUCUCAGUUUUGCUCUUAAUGUCAUAUGUUAUACAACACAGAUGAGUCACAGGAGUCACACCACACACUCUCCCACCUCUCAUGAAAUGCCCCCCACCCCCUGCCAUUGAAACAUACAGAAAACACGUAUGUAUGCGCACACACAGGCACUCGCAGAGCAAAGGAAAAAGUGGGAAACAGCCACUCCAUUUCCUUAAUGGGCCGUUUAAAUAAACAAAUAAAUAAAAAUAUUGAAAUGAAGUAGCAUUCCUGGCUCUCUCAUUGGCUGGCUGAGAAAAGCUGUGAAGGAGCUCAGACGAAGCGGAGACAAAAUGCUCGAGAGCUCCACCUUCUCAUGUUUCCUUUGAGCUCAUGGCCUUACACCUGAGGAGGGAGGAAAUCCCUCAGCACACUGACCUUUUCCUCCGC